CACUCAUCAUCAUAUUCUUAACCCUAAAUAUUCUGUGUUUUUUCUUCAUUCGAUCGGAAUUAUACGCAGAGAUUCAUGGAGUCAUGGCUUAGAUUUCGAAUUCAGAUCCUCUUUCUCUUUGCGUUUCUAAAAUUCUAUCACAAUAAUUUAUAUAUCUUGACAAAAUUAUUUUCUUUCUCUCAGAUCUGAUUAUUUGCUUUGAAGAUGGAUUUGCGACAGCUAGUGCUCUUGUUCACCUCACAAGAUUCUACAAUGUGAGGCAUCAACAUUAGCCCAUCCAAGUAACAAUGGCGAUCAACAAAGGAAAUCUCCAGGAGUUGGUUUCUUUUCAUUGAUUUUGUUUGGUGCUCCACUUACACCUGUAAUUGGAUCCAUUGGGUUGACUCCUCUUCUAGCAGCAGUUUAUGUGGGUGUCUUGCAAAAUAUUUUCAGCUAGAGUGUGAAGUACAGUUUGUUUGACCUUUGCAAAGAAAUGGCUUACAUUCCAUUGGACGAGGACACUAAGCUCAGGUGGCCUCUCACACUAUUAGCCAUGUUCUUGACAUGGAUAUGUGGCCAAACAUUCAUCGUCGAAAGAAAUACCUUUAAGAAGCUAAAGGUGUAGUCAUUGGUUGUACCACGCUACAGGAUACAUCGCUUGUUGGACAAUUUUCUCAUAUUGUAGGUGCAGUUCGUUAAGGGAAUGCAUCUCCGGGUCUUUUAAACAAAGCAUCUGAAUUCUUAGGAAAGGCAAAACAUCUGAUUGCAAAAGUCAAUAUAGGUACAACAAGAGAAUAGGUCGGGACACUUGAGCAUCAAAACAAGUGACUAUAUUGUCUAUAAGGCCAUCAUCUAUGUAUUUUGGUUUUUAGUCUUAUAUUAGUGAUGUAUUUAUUUAGGGACAAGCUACUAUAAUAUGCGAUGUUUUUUGUUUUAAUUUGUUUUUAAUUGUGUUGAUGUUUUCUUUUUAUAAAUUUGGUAAUUAACUACGUACUCUUAUUAUUGUU